rnacentral:sRNA from 1 species
AACACUGUGCUGGUUCGAGCUCUGUUA